UAAAAAAAGCUGCAUAAUCCGCUUUAAUCUCUCGCGCGCGCGCUCUCUCUCUUACACACACACACACACGCGCACAGUUGGAGAUGGCGGCCUCCGACGAGGGAACGAAGAGAUCCGACGGCGGAGGCGAGACGCUCUGGUCCGUCCUUCUUGACUUCGUCGCCAGCUUCGUGUCGCUUCGGCCCGCCAUCCUCCGACGUCGCAGGUCCUCCUCCGCCAAGGCCGCCUCCCGCCGCAGGGAAGAUUCCAGAAACCCCGUCCGAUAUCUCCUUCUGUGGACCCGUGGCCGCGGUCCCCUCCCCGCUCUGUUCGGCAUCUCGGUGGGGACAAUCACUCUUUUGGCAUUGGCAGGGUUGCUGAUUUCUCUGUUUAUAUUGGUUGCAGCAACAUUAAAUGUUAUCAUUGUCUCCUUUCAAGUGUCCUUAAUAGCUGUUGGAGGAUUUUUAUCAAUCUUUUUUGCAAGCAUAACAGCAAUUUUUAUCGGAGCAAUACUAUCUGCAAUAUUUGUAAUCUCCACCACAACCAUUUCGGCAAUAAUUGCUGUUAUGUUAGCCACUGGAUCGAUUGGGUUCUUCUGGAUUGUUAUUGUUGCUGUUAGGAAAAGCAUGGACCUUACCAGGCACUCUGUGAGCAUCACCAGCUCUGCAAUAUCAGCAUAUUCAGCUGCUUGGCAAGCAAGAUGGAUGAAUCUUCAAAGUCUGAAGAUGCAAGUUUACUGAUUUAACCAUCAUGCCUAUCCAGCGAGUCGACUCUUGUGGAUCUUGGACAUGUAUGACUCCAUGGAAGAACUCAUGGAUCUUGGAUAUGUAUGUCUAUACUUGUUUCCGUCUUUGGUGUUCAAUUAUGCAUAGUGUUUAUUUAUCCAGUCUCAAAUAGUUGGAACAUUACGAAUAAUAUUGAUUUUGCACAUAAGCCUUGUAAAAAAUCAUUGUCAAUGCUAUGAUAAAUUAGAGGGUCUUACAAUAUCAA